UACAGAGGUCUCAAGCGUUGUUCGGAUUCAUUGGGCGUAAAGGGUGCGUAGGUGGCGAGGUUAGUCAGGUGUGAAAUCUCGGGGCUCAACCCCGAAACUGCACUUGAUACUGCCUUGCUAGAGUACUGGAGAGGAGAUUGGAAUUUACGGUGUAGCAGUGAAAUGCGUAGAUAUCGUAAGGAAGACCAGUGGCGAAGGCGAAUCUCUGGACAGUUCCUGACACUGAGACACGAAGGCCAGGGGAGCAAACGGG
rnacentral:rRNA from 1 species